CCUACGGGUGGCUGCAGUGGGGAAUAUUGCACAAUGGGCGCAAGCCUGAUGCAGCCAUGCCGCGUGUGUGAAGAAGGCCUUCGGGUUGUAAAGCACUUUCAGCGGGGAGGAAGGCGGUGAGGUUAAUAACCUCAUCGAUUGACGUUACCCGCAGAAGAAGCACCGGCUAACUCCGUGCCAGCAGCCGCGAUAAUACGGAGGGUGCAAGCGUUAAUCGGAAUUACUGGGCGUAAAGCGCACGCAGGCGGUCUGUCAAGUCGGAUGUGAAAUCCCCGGGCUCAACCUGGGAACUGCAUUCGAAACUGGCAGGCUAGAGUCUUGUAGAGGGGGGUAGAAUUCCAGGUGUAGCGGUGAAAUGCGUAGAGAUCUGGAGGAAUACCGGUGGCGAAGGCGGCCCCCUGGACAAAGACUGACGCUCAGGUGCGAAAGCGUGGGGAGCAAACAGGAUUAGAUACCCUAGUAGUC
rnacentral:rRNA from 1 species